rnacentral:rRNA from 1 species
GAUGAACGCUGGCGGCGUGCCUAAUACAUGCAAGUCGAGCGAACAGACGAGGAGCUUGCUUCUCUGACGUUAGCGGCGGACGGGUGAGUAACACGUGGAUAACCUACCUAUAAGACUGGGAUAACUUCGGGAAACCGGAGCUAAUACCGGAUAAUAUAUUGAACCGCAUGGUUCAAUAGUGAAAGACGGUUUUGCUGUCACUUAUAGAUGGAUCCGCGCCGCAUUAGCUAGUUGGUAAGGUAACGGCUUACCAAGGCAACGAUGCGUAGCCGACCUGAGAGGGUGAUCGGCCACACUGGAACUGAGACACGGUCCAGACUCCUACGGGAGGCAGCAGUAGGGAAUCUUCCGCAAUGGGCGAAAGCCUGACGGAGCAACGCCGCGUGAGUGAUGAAGGUCUUCGGAUCGUAAAACUCUGUUAUUAGGGAAGAACAAAUGUGAAAGUAACUAUGCACGUCUUGACGGUACCUAAUCAGAAAGCCACGGCUAACUACGUG